rnacentral:rRNA from 1 species
UACGUAGGGCGCAAGCGUUAUCCGGAAUUAUUGGGCGUAAAGAGCUCGUAGGCGGUUUGUCGCGUCUGCCGUGAAAGUCCGGGGCUCAACUCCGGAUCUGCGGUGGGUACGGGCAGACUAGAGUGAUGUAGGGGGAGACUGGAAUUCCAGGUGUAGCGGUGAAAUGCGUAGAUAUCUGGAGGAACACCGGUGGCGAAGGCGACAUCCUGGACCGGUAUUGACGCUGAGGCGCGAAAGCCAGGGGAGCAAACGGG